UCAUCAAGCCACUCUGUGGCGGCAUCCUAAGUACAAAAUAGAGGAAGAUUGGCACAGAUGUUAGCUCAGUGACAAUCUUCCUCACCCCCCUCAAAAAUAUAUAUAUACUUGUAAAUUGAAAUUAACGUGCUAUAGACAUACGUUUAUAGGUCAAUGAUGUAACUUCUUGUUAUAACCAUAUACUGUCAAAAGAACUAUAGUGACUUAUUUUAUUAUAAUUAUAUUUUAUGCUAGAGAUUUAAAUUCUUAUUAGGUAUAACUUGUGUGGUUUUCUUUAGACAAUUCUUCAACCAUCUAAGGGUGAAGAGAUCUUAAAGACUUCUUGCAAAUAUUUUAAGGUGACUUUGGGUUAUUGCUCUGCAGCUCUUUGCUUUAAAAAAAAAGAGAAUCAGUCAUGCCCCGGCCUGAAAAUGCAUGUCAUGCAUACACCCACAGUAAAUAAAUUUUUCAAAGCUCAUUUAUGAGGUCCAGUGUCAGUUUUAAGGUAUUUUGGUAUGUUCUCUGUAACUUUUUCUUUUUUUUUUUUUAACAGCUACGUCCUUUUAUUAAGUUGUGUGAGAAUAGUAACAGGGCUCUUUUUUUGUUUCAUUGCCAGUUACUUUGAUCUGGCAUUCAUAUUUGGUGUCUAUUUUGAUUCUUAAGCCUAUAUCAUAAUUCCAUGGCCUCAGUUCUGAAAUGCAAACUAAGUCCAGCUUGUUUUAAGUUCUGAUAAUAAAAGUUUCUUUUCAUGGCUUUUGUUUGUUUGUUGGGUAGGUAGGAAGUUGGUUUUUUACCUACUUGCUUCCUUAUUGCCCAAGUAUCUUAGAACUUAAACUCAUCUGGAGUUGUUGCCUGGCUGGCCUUGUUUAAUUAAGUGUAGAUGCCUGGGGCCAUGUGGCAUUAUUGCUAAAAUACUGGGCUUUGCAAAGCUUUUCUUCUGCAUAGUUAUUGUUUGAUUUUAAGUUUUUAUGUAGUUCUUGGUUGUGAAGAAUUCCUUCAAGAACGGUUUUUCUGAAGAAUAUGUUUUUAUUAAAUGCUGAUGACUUUUCUCAGUUUUCCAAUUUAGUAGGUCACCUUUAAUGUCCAUUAAAGUGAAAUAAAACUUCCAGCCUUAAACAUUUUUCGUUGCUUAAAGAUUAUCUCAGAAUAGUUUAAUUUGUCAUUUCUUUUUGACUAAUCAGAUAUACUGUCCAAAUGACUGGAUUGUUAAAUUAUGUUUUUUAAGACUGCUAAUUGAAGUAAGAUUACUGAUUAAGCCUAGAAGAGGGGGACCCCCCUGAACCUGGAGUAUUUUCCCCUCCUCCUUCAAAGAUGAGACUAGAUGAGUGUGUUAAUGUUUUUUUAAAACACUGAUUCUUUCCUUCCUAAUGAUUAUUUCAGUUUGCAGUUCCAUGUUUAUUCACAUUUUAUUUGCAUGAUUAAUUUGUUAAUGGCUGUAUCCUCUUGUAGACUGAAUAUAACCUUGACUGUUUAUCUUUUGGCCAACCAUUGUAUCCCUGUUUUCUACUAUAGCACUUGGUAUAUUGGUUGGUUCUUGUAAAUAUCAAGACAUCCAGCAGUUAUUAUGGGCCAGUCACUGUUCUAAGGGCUUUAAUGAAUUUGAACUUAAUCCUCAUGACAACCCUAUGAGGUAGGUUCUAUCAUUAUAUUACAGGCAAGGAAACUGAUUUGUAUCACAGGUUAAGUAACUUACUCAAAGUCAAAACUAGUGAGUUGUGGAGAAGAGAUUUCAAACUCAGGCGCCCUUGCUUUGUGUUCUGUGUUAACUGCUAUUGUAUGCUGCUUAUGUCAGUGGAAUUAAUAGGUUCCAUAAAACAUUGGCACAUAGCAUGGAAAACUUGUAACACUGUGUUUGGUCAUCAGGAACAAAUUUUUAAUUUCGUAUGUUUUGUUAGAAAAUAAAUUUAUAAAAUAUAUA